rnacentral:rRNA from 1 species
UACGUAGGGCGCAAGCGUUGUCCGGAAUUAUUGGGCGUAAAGAGCUCGUAGGCGGCUUGUCACGUCGGGUGUGAAAGCCCGGGGCUUAACCCCGGGUCUGCAUUCGAUACGGGCAGGCUAGAGUGUGGUAGGGGAGAUCGGAAUUCCUGGUGUAGCGGUGAAAUGCGCAGAUAUCAGGAGGAACACCGGUGGCGAAGGCGGAUCUCUGGGCCAUUACUGACGCUGAGGAGCGAAAGCGUGGGUAGCGAACAGG